AUGAACGCUGGCGGCGUGCCUAAUACAUGCAAGUCGAGCGAACAGACGAGGAGCUUGCUCCUCUGACGUUAGCGGCGGACGGGUGAGUAACACUUGGAUAACCUACCUAUAAGACUGGGAUAACUUCGGGAAACCGGAGCUAAUACCGGAUAAUAUAUUGAACCGCAUGGUUCAAUAGUGAAAGACGGUUUUGCUGUCACUUAUAGAUGGAUCCGCGCCGCAUUAGCUAGUUGGUAAGGUAACGGCUUACCAAGGCAACGAUGCGUAGCCGACCUGAGAGGGUGAUCGGCCACACUGGAACUGAGACACGGUCCAGACCCCUACGGGAGGCAGCAGUAGGGAAUCUUCCGCAAUGGGCGAAAGCCUGACGGAGCAACGCCGCGUGAGUGAUGAAGGUCUUCGGAUCGUAAAACUCUGUUAUUAGGGAAGAACAAAUGUGUAAGUAACUAUGCACGUCUUGACGGUACCUAAUCAGAAAGCCACGGCUAACUACGUG
rnacentral:rRNA from 1 species